AGAGUAUAAAGGCAUAAGCCAGCUUAACUGCGAGACAUACACGUCAAGCAGAGACGAAAGUCGGUCUUAGUGAUCCGGUGGUUCUGUGUGGAAGGGCCAUCGCUCAAAGGAUAAAGGUACCCCGGGGAUAACAGGCUGAUCUCCCCCAAGAGCUCACAUCGACGGGGAGGUUUGGCACCUCGAUGUCGGCUCAUCGCAUCCUGGGG
rnacentral:rRNA from 1 species